rnacentral:lncRNA from 1 species
GUUCAGAAUUUACUGUAAAUCUUUCUAAUGUAGUCAUUUGUUUCCACUUUCACAAAAUAAGCCUCCAGUCUGAAGCAGGUCACUUUGAGUGCAGCGUCUCUUCCCUGCGCUGGGUUUGUAAGAAGAAGGUCAGCUUCAAAUACCACUUCAGCUCAUGGGAUGAACACAGGGAGAAGCCUUCAUGUGUGGAUUACAUGCCAGCAGGACCACUACUGGACAUCACAGUCACAAGUGGAAAGAUGGAGGAAGUGCAUCUGCCACACUGGAUAGAUCACAACUCCACAAUAUCGGACAUGUUUGCAGUCCUACAUGUGGAUACUUCUGGAGAUUUUGUGAAAAAAGCGCCUCAAGUGACAUCAUCCCACGUCAAGUUAUGCCAGCCGACUUUCUUUCCAGCAGGGGUCAUGAUCCGGGUGAAACUGGGCUUCCCAGUCAAGGUUCACUAUGAGGCGUUGAUACAUUACUUUGAGGUGUUCCUCAGAAAUGCAGACGGUGACUAUAACCUGAGACUUGACAGUGAGGGAAAGAAAAAAAGCAGAAGGGACACAGUCUGGACCUGCACUAUAAGAAAAGAAUCAACGCUCUGAUCAUGAACAAGCCUCAGGUCAGCAUUUCACCGAUCGUCGUCGGACAGAACUGAUUGACAGUGAGCCACACAGGAGCCAGGAAGCGAGCCAGGCAAAGAUGCUCUCUAUGAAAUCCUUCAAAGGAUGAGGAGUGUGAGGCCUCUAAUCUCUGAGCUUGAGGAAUCUGGAUAACGGAGCAAAUCAUUAUAGUAAAAAACUGUUGAUUUGAACACAUCAUGAACAUUUGACGCAGAGAUGAGAGGACAGCAGGAAGCUGACUGUAUAUUCUGACAUUUUAUUUGAUCUGUAACUCUAUAGAGGCUCCAUCGAACAUCUAAUUUUGAACCUAGUAAAAAGGUUUGGAUUCGCAUGAAUGUACUGUACUGGAUUUUCAGUUUGACUUCUUUUGAAUAUAUUUUUUACUACUUUUAUGCUUUAUUUUUUACUGUCUUAUCAUUCAGAGUUGGAGGUGGAGCAGAAGAUGCUGGAUGGAGUAAAUGUCCAGCAUCUUGAAUGUACUGCUCCAUCAGCAGAGCACUUUUAGUAAUGAACUCGCUGCUGUCAGCUGAUCCGACAUCAGCCGCCUCAAAUGAAAACAGUGAUAUCUGGAAGGAAAUGAAGCUCCUAAAACUUUUGUCUUUCCCAUCAUUUAUAUUUUCAGGAUUUUGUUUAUGGAUGUUUGAAGUGUUGACAGUUCAACAGCUCCUUAACCUACUAAAGCAGUGUAUUCAGAGGAGAAUUAUUACAGUUUUUCUUUUUGUUUUCUUUCAUGUAAAUAUUCAUAGGUUUAUAUUAAGAGAGAUGUGUCAAGCAAACACAAUGAAAUCAUAAAGGACACACUUGGAUACAUUUUUUUAUUUUUUGUUUUGUUUUUUAAAUUCAUGAACACAUGACCUUGGAUGUUUUAUACUCGAUUCAAAGCCUUGAUAUGUAAGUUAGGGAGGUCACUUUUGAGCUAGUUACCCUGUUAAAAAUAAUAUUUGACUAUCUACUUACUUGUAACUUUUUACAUUUGAUACACACAUAUUGUGUUUUCAUAUUAUUACUAUUUUUAGGUUUAACUUUUUUUUAACACUCUACAGAUCUGUAUGAUGAACAUGGUUUUGAAAUAAAUUGGGUGCAUUUUGAUCCAGCGCCACUUGUUUACAUGAGGAAUAUUUCUUCAAUCUGAUCGACAUCAUUCCGAUUGGAGGUUUGUAUGAGACGAG